CCUACGGGAGGCAGCAGUGGGGAAUAUUGCACAAUGGGGGAAACCCUGAUGCAGCGACGCCGCGUGAGCGAUGAAGUAUUUCGGUAUGUAAAGCUCUAUCAGCAGGGAAGAAGGUGACGGUACCUGACUAAGAAGCCCCGGCUAACUACGUGCCAGCAGCCGCGGUAAUACGUAGGGGGCAAGCGUUCUCCGGAUUUACUGGGUGUAAAGGGAGCGGAGGCGGCGUUGUAAGGCAGAUGUGAAAGCCCGGGGCUCAACCCCGGGCCGGCCUUUGAAACUGGCGGGCUGGAGUUGCGGAGAGGCAGGCGGAAUUCGCGGUGUAGCGGUGAAAUGCAUAGAUAGUGCGAGGAACUCC
rnacentral:rRNA from 1 species